rnacentral:lncRNA from 1 species
GAGUCUGCCAUGUCUAAUGCAGUUCAAGGUGGACUAUCACUACCCAAAAGAUCCAAAAUACUUUGACCUCGGCAAUUGAAAUGUCUCAAGCUACCUCCUCAAUUGAAUCCUGGAGGUGCUGUACAUAAUUCAGUCUUUCUUUUAGAAUAUCUUCAUUCCUCCUCUUGUACAGAUUUCAGUUUCUCAAUAAUGUUAACCUUGUAAUUCCAUGUGCAAGUUAACUUUACCAUCACAGUCUUCAUAUCAAAUAUGGGCUCCCUACAGCUUAAAUUGAUAAAUGAAGUUAUGGUUUAUUAUUUAUAUAAAUAUAAAUAUUUCAACAUCUUGUCUAAAGUGUAAAUUAGUUGUUGGCCUGAGUCUAAAGUGUGAAAAUAGAUAAUUGGAUAAAUGGGGAAGCAAGUGGGGGCUUGGAAGAUUCGAACUAAGAAAAGUUUAAGCAAACAGGUGGAUUGAAAUCAUAUAAAUAUAAAUAUUUCAACAUCUUGUCUCCCGUGCAAGUUGGAUUACAAGCGGCACAGGAAACUUCUGACCAGGGCACUUGGAAUUUGAUUAAUGGGGAGUGGAUAUACAAUCGCAAAAGGGAUAAUAUUGAUUUUGAUACCAAAUGAGAAUUUUAUGUUCUAAAAUUUAAAUUGAUAGAAGAAUGCGUGAUUUAUAUUUAUAUAUUCUAACAAGUUUGAUAUAGCAACAUCACUCUUAUUUCUAACAUGAAAAUGUCUAGGAAUAAUGCUAGCUCAAAAAGAAGAAAGGCUAUCAGAGGCUCACAUUGAUGAGGUGGAAUCGUACGCUUUAAAAGAAGCAAUAGAUAGUUUUUCAGCUAGCAAUCACCCUUGAAAGAGUGCGUAAUAGCUCACUGAGUAAUAGCUCACUGAUGAAGUGUUCUUGUGCCGAAGAUGAACAGGCGGGAAAGGAGGGAAAGUACUUUGUUCCUAGUUUUCUUGUAAUUGUAUCCUUCGGAACUACAAAAAUCCCGAGUUAGAAUGGGAUUCCAACUCAACACCCUAUAGGUUCGGUAUAGCAAUAUCGCUCUUAUUUCUAACAUGAUAACGAUAACAUUCUGUCAUCCCUUUCCCACAUUAAUCUCCACGUGGCACUACCCAGGCACCUAUAAAAUAUAUUUUUCUUUUCUCUCAAGAUGACUUGAAUUAAGGGAUGCAUGUUGGAGACGGGUGAUGCAGAGUAACAUGUCAAUGGGGGCACAUUUCAACGUUCAUCACGUAAAAGUCUAGAAGUAAAACAUCAUAUUGAUUUAAGAUACAAAAGAAGAGAGGGGUUUGACAAAAUCAAUUGCUCGAUAAUAAGACGUCCUUAAUUUGAAGAGACGAUCCUGGUAUUGCUAUUUCAUUAUUAGGUAGUACCGACCAUGGAAUUGACUCGGAGCAAGGGCUUUUCCAUGCUAUCGGCUCGAGAACUCGGUUAGUACUACACUACUACAGGUUGUGCUGGUGGAUUACAGUACUAAUUCACUUCAGAUAGCUGAUUAACUACGGUUCCACCCCUGGAUCAUCGAUAUGAAAAUAUAUGUUGGGAUUAGGUCAGUUUCAAGGUGGCGUAACCUUGAUAUUUUAUUGCACUGUUAUAUGCUGUAUAAACUUUUAAGUUGAAAUUUUAGUGUUGCUUUGAUCAAUGAAUUUGGCAUUUAAAUUUCGGAACCAAUUAAAAAACAAGGACAAAGCACUCCUGUCUGCCUGCUGUAGCUUUCACCUCCUUUCGCUUGGCAACAUUUUAAAAGUAGAAGCAGCCGCAAUACAUUGUAAACAACUUUUUUAGAAGAGCAAAAGUCACUACAAAUCCUAGAUUAUAUCUAUUGUAAUAUAUUUAUCAUAAACUUUUUUCUGUGACACCAAAAAUUUCAAAUUUAUACUUUUGUGACACAUUUAUCAUCCGUUAAAAUUUUUGUUAACAAGAAGCGUUAAAAAUCUGCUUACGUGGAUACUAGAAAGCCAACAAUAUUGACAUUGUGUCUAUGUGACUUAAGUGAAAUACAAACAACAUUAUUUUGGAUAAAAAAAUCAUUUAAUAAAACUUUGACGGAGGAUAAAUCUGUUACACAAAUACAAAUUAAUGGUUUUUUAUGUCAUAAAAAUUUAGGGUAAAUGUGUCAUGGUGGGCAUGAUUUGGGGUUUUUGAUAUUACAAAAAAAAUCAAAAUAAAUGUAUUAUGGUAGAUAUAAUUUGAGGUUUUCUAUGGCUAUUUUCCUUAUAUUUAACCUAAAACUAGAGCCCGAAUAAGUUAUAUGAUUUUUGGAUGGUGAGGGUUAGACUUUCACCAUCUUUAUCCCUUGUUCAUAACCCGACUCCCAAGCUCACUCACUAACUUGAUGAGUUGGUUCAUGGAACUAUCCAUUUUUCAAAUGCAACAAUAUGAGGAGAAAAAAAAAUACUAAAAAUGAAUUUCGAGACAAUUCGGGUAUGUGUCAAUUUGCUUUGGAAAUAAAUGGGUCAAUUUGGUCAGCCCAUAUAUGGCCCGACCGAAUACAUCCAUUUGACUAGCCUACUCAACAUAUAAAAGGUCAUAUGCAUCUUACCUUCCUAAUGUGAUUUUGCUUUCUUCUCAAAAGGUUUAUCUUUUGUUAGAGUUGUAGCUGAUUGCUUUCCUCUCUCACGUACAACAUGCUUCUUUUAUGUCAAGGAGCACGUCGGGCUCAGUAAUUUUCAUUUGUGGCUUGAAGUACAUGUUAAGGUAGGAUGUACAAUAUUACCGAGGUUGGGAUACGAGGAUUGGGUUACGAACCAAGUCAAAAUCACAUUUCAUGAAUAAGAAGAUUAAUGAACGAGGAUAAUACAAUCCUUUUCCAAAUUAUUUGAAUCAAUUUCCCUGAUUCUCCGGGGCCAAAGGAAAAAAAAAUUCCUGCUCUUCCAAUCUCACAAUAUUGCAUGAGGAUCUUAGCCAAAUACCAUCAUAGCAUUCAUAAACAUUGUAUAUAUGUAGAAGGUAUUCAAAAUUAUAACAGUACAACAGAAAUGUUCAUGAUUGAGCCAGCAUUAGGAUCCGCGAAAAAACGAGCACAAAAGUCAUGCGAACCAGAAACUGUCUCUCUACUUUGCAAUGAAUAGGACUGCCAUCAGAAUACAGAGAAGGGUAACUGACCAUGGCAUGUCGCUGAGAACGACAUACAUUAACAGAACGCAUUUGAGACUUUGAAGCCCAGCGUCAAUGACGGUAUACACAAGUUCGAACCUCGGGCCUCCAUCAAGCUCUUCCAUCCUGAUGGCUUUGAGCAGUCCGUAGAAACCCAUGAUUUUCGCACAAGUAUUGUUAGCUGGAACACCCUUCAACUUAAUGACUUCAUCCAGGAACCCCACCAGGGAACGAAGGCGUCGUGUGCGUGGAGCGAUUCGAUCUGCAAGGUCAACUCCAUGCCUUGGAAAUGAAAUUAACACCAGUUGUUAGUAUGCAUUGCAGAGAGUCUAACCUCUGGAUAAACUGCAGGUAUUUAACCCAUCUAGUGAUCCACGGAUAAGCUACUGAAACUCUUCUAUUCGACAAAAUGGAACACCAGAGUACAAAGAAAUACUUCUUAACGCCUACAAACCUUUCCUAUCCUUCUCUUACAACACUUGCUCACAAAACAAGAUCGCCCAGACGCACAGAAUUGCCAGGUAAGCCCCCCUGUUUAUUGGGUAGAAACAGAGUAAAGCUAAUUGCAGGUUUUAUGUUUUCAUAUGAGGAAAAAUUAAUAGGAUUUUCAAUUAAUACGUUGUUCUUAACAUGAGUUUCUGUUGACAAAAGAAACAGUGUGUAUAUACAAUUGUGUCUCUUCAUCAAUGGGACAGAAUUUUCCCUCCUAGAAACAGAGUGUAUAUAUAACCAGACAGGGCCCAUGCUUACUGGGUAGAAGCCAAGUCUUGGCCAGAAUCUGGAAACCGAGCUUUGGGCAUUCAGGUAAAUUAUGAUAAUGGAUAUGAUCAGACAUAGGUUCAGGAAAAAUAAUAAUCAGGAUUUGUCAUAAUAUUGAGGUCGCCGAAGAGGUUAUGAUAAAGCUGAUGUCUGGCCUCAAGUAAAUUAUGAUAUAUGCUUGUUGUCCGGUCUCAAGUAAUUUAUGCGACUGAUUUUUUUUCUGGGAAUGUGCCCAAGUCUCUGUUCUAGCUUCUACUCGAGACUUGAGUAGCUUGUACCCGAGUCUUGCUUUCUAAGUUCUACACCUAGAAUUGGGCUUUCAAGAACUGAGCAAACGAGAUAAAAAUGCAUGGGACAUGGGACAAGUUCACCUAAAAAAAGAUCGGUUUUUUCUUAACAAUUGAGCAUUCACCUAAUGGAAUAUUCACAAUUGACAUGAUCAGACAUGGGUUGAGGAAAUCAAAUAAAAAAUUUGUUGUGAUUUUGAGGUCUCUGAAGAGGUUAUGAUAGCUUGACGUCUGUCGUCCAAAAACUCAGAUCAUACAUGCGAGAUCUCUAUCGCAAAAAAAACGCAGAUCAUAUGUGCUUGAUGUCCGGCUUCAAAUAAGUUAUGAAACUGAGGUCACUAAGGCUUACCUUGGAACAGCGAAAUCUGCUGGCAUCUCCAUUAACCUUCCGACGAUGCCUUCCUGGAGAGGUGGCGAAGGAGAUGAAAUGUGAGAGUAAUGGUUUUGCUCUGGUGCUCGAGGGAAUGGUAGGAAUAGGAGGGCGAGUCGGAAAUUCAAGAGUGCAGUCCUUAUCAUGAACAAAGAAAAACUGCGACCUUUUGUCCUUAAUCAGCCAAUAGAGUCAGUCCCGUCCUUUGCGCCCGGAAGCGAAAGAUUGGUGUUAUAGUAAGCAACCACGUCGGACACCAUGCCAUUAUUUCUUCUCUAUUUUUCUUCUUUUUUUUCCCGUUCUUUUUGUUAAUGAAUCCAGAUUUCUAUACCCGCCUCUUUUAAUGACAUAGGUAUAGGCAGACAAUGGACCUAGAGGUAUAUUCCACCUGAAGAUAGUCAUAUCUGAAAGAGGUUGACAAAUAACAUUUAUAAAAAAAAAUCAUAGAAAAUUUCAAACUAUCGUCACGAUGAUAUAUUUAUUUCGAAUCUUUUUUUAUGUGCCAUAAAAAAAUCUUAAAUCAUGCCCACUGUGAUACAUUUACCCUAUACUUUAAAAAUAAAUAAAUAAAAGACUCAAAAUUUGUACUUAUGUCAAACAUUUACCUUUUGUCACUGUAUAUGAUUUUUCAACCAAAACAAUGUUGUUUUUAUUUCAUUUAAGCCACAUGGGUGCUAUGUCAACAUUGUUUGUUUUCUGACAUUCACGUAGGUAGAUUUUUAACAGUUCCCAUCGAUAAAAUUUUGACAGAAGGUAAAUGUGUCAUACCUCUACAAAUUUUGGGUUUUUGAUAUUACAAAAAUCAUUUGGCAUAAUUGUGUCACAGUUGACAUAGUUUAGGGUUUUUGGUGGCUUUUGCCUUUAUUUAUUUGCCAAACUUUUUUAUUUCUUCCUUUUGGUAAGAGAAACUCAUAUUACUUGCAAUAAAUAUUUGUAUGAUACAUGUAGUCAAAAGAUGAAUCAGCAUUAUCAAUAAAAUGUAGGUGGCACAUUCCCUGCAUGGAUCGUCAAUGGGGCCACUUUAUGCUCCGCCAACUUCUUUUUUGGCUUAGUUAAGGUGCGAUUGAUAACAUUUUUAUUCAAAAAUAGUUUUUUUUUUCUAUUUCUAUUCAUUGAACAAGUUUUUGAGUAGAAUAAUGCGUUUGGUAAUUGUAUAGAAUUUCUACUUCUGAAAGAGAAAAAGAACAUAAAUGCCUUUGGUACAACCUAAUUUUUUUUUUAUUUCCAAUUUCUUUUUUCAUUUUAACAAUAAAAAUGUGAGUGGAGACUUAACAUUUCAUGUUUGGAUAAAACUAGAUUUUCGUAAGGAUUUAAUUGAUCAAGAUAUCCUAAGAUGACCUUAGAAAAUCCAAUGUAAUAGUUAGUCAAAGAUGGAUGGCUGGAGAUGGUAGCAAAGAGUCCCACUGGUUUAUAACUUGCAAUAUUAGGAGGUUGAUAGUAAUCUAUGCGCAUUACAAUUAACAAUUACAUAGACCUUUUGAGCUUUUUUAGCUACAAGAAAAAGAGCAAAUGUUGCUUGGUGGAAUGAGCAAUGACGAAACAAUUGAGGAGGGAGGCAGUCAUAAAGUUGGUGUGCUCAUUUGCACAAACUCAUCAAACCUUCAAGCAAAUGACAUCGGAAAUCCAUGGAUCACAGGGUUAUUCAAUUGCUAUGAACACAAGACAAAUGGUAAUGCAAAUGAAUUACUCAAAGCCAUCUAAUUUUCUAUUAAAACAUAAUUGUAGAUGAUCUUAAAGGAUGUCUCCAAUAGAAUCUUAAGGGAAGUCACUAAGUUUUAACGACCUAGCAUUAUCUUUUUAUAUAUAUAAAACAGCAUUAAAAAAUCUAUAUAGUAAAGCCCUAAAAUCUUAUUCAAUUUUAAACCUAAUUUUCAUCAAAAGAUUUUUACAUUUUUUUAUGCUAAACCAAUUCUAAAAAUAAAAAUUAACAUUAAAAUCUAGUAAAACUACUGAAAAUCUAAAUUCUAAAUUUUUUACUAAUUUCUGAAAUUCUUUAUUAUGGGAACUCAUAUUGAGUUAGGAGAGUGGACCUUGUAUCGAUCAUAUAAAGAUGAGCGUGAGGUUACGUUGAGCUUGCUUUUUUAAGAUGAAUUUAUUUCUUUUUUUAUUCUCGGGAACAAAGAAGUAAGAUUUUUCAACUUCUUAUUUUUAUUCCAAAUCUAUUUUCUGGCUAUACUGGUUUAUUUUUAUUUCUUGGUUAUUGAUAUGUUCUGGGAAAUAGAAAAAUUAGCUGAUGUUACCAAACAAAUUUCUGUUUUUUUUUUUUCCUAUUUUGAGAAACAAAAGAACAGAAAAAUAGAGGAACAUAACGAUUACUAAAUAGGGCAGUAUUGUGUAAUCCUUGUAAGUAAUUUCUUUUUUCCCCCAUUUGUUAAUUAAAUCCUAAUUAAUUAACAUUAUUGCAUUGAUGCACCCAAUGUGAAAUCAGGCUAGCUCCGUCCUUGCCCGCAAUGCACAUAGGGCAUCUCUGUAAUUUAAGGUUUGCGAAAAACUGACCUCUCCGAACGGCCGCUAGAAGAGAGACUAGUUCCCUCGAGACUACCCGCAUUGUCAGUGCUUUUGAAGGCUCGAUGCCGCUCCCCGUCUGUCUGUCCGUCCCUCCCUCUCUCUCUUCCUCUCUCCCUCUCUCUCUACUGUGUCUUGCGGGGUCCAUCAUCCAUCGCCAUUUGCUCCACACUGUAAUCAUAUUUUCAUAUUCUUUCAAGAUUCACUUUAUUGAUUUGACACAGAGACCGAGGCAGAGAGAGAGAGAGAGAGAGAGAGAGAGAGAGAGAGAGAGGAGAGGUCGAAAUGCGAACCUUAUAUUCCUGCAACGAUUCAUUGACUCUUUGGAUAUGAUUUAGGCUAAAUGCAUGGUAUUUUACUGUGCAUUAAAUUUCUUUUUGAAUUUGCAUUAUGUUUUCCUUUUCCUCCUCUUUUCAUCUCGCCAACCUGGCAUGCUCGGGACCGAUGCACGAGUUCGGUCGAGCUGCUUCGAGGCGAAGACUUAUUAGUCUGGGAAGCCAUUUUGGACGUUUGCGGAAAGCUUUUGGGAGCGGGAGGUAAAGGGGGAAGGGGGACAAGUGGAACGCUUCCUUCAGUCGAUUCGGUGCAAAUUGUCCUUUCGUCUUGAUCACGAAACAGCCCCCAAAGGAAGCCGACAAAAAACAUACGAAAAAUCUCUACUCGUCUCUGCGAGUUUUCUCUCUACCUCAUGAUAGCACCCCCCUUUUACAAACCCUAAAUCGCUAAUGUUCUUCCGUAAUCUCUCACCUUUCCCUCUUGUUUUUUAAUUUCCAGUUUCCAAAAACCGAAAAUCAAACAAAGAAAUGUUACUUCGAAGUAAUAUGGCUUGUAUACUCCUCAGCGACUCUCUGGGUGAUCUCAGGACUUCAUCGGCUGUGAUGAUCUUGCAAGGAAGUAUCGUACAGGUGGAGUGUUGAUUUGUCCUGUUCACCGCUCUGGGUUCUGGAUUUGAGUAGAUUAUUAGUCAAAUCUUCGCUGUCUCUGUUCGUCUUCAUUUGAGUAGUUGGUCUGUUGAUGAGAUUGGAGAGGCCGAUGUCAGGAUCUGGAAAUAGCUGAAGCUGGGCUUUCUCGGGGAAGGUCGGUUGGUAGUCAUACUCUGAUUUUGCCUAGAAAAGAGAUAGACAGUUAGUAAAAAUGGAAAGCAAAGAAGAAAAUGAGAUGAGAGUGGCUGCCUUAUGCAAAAGCCUUGGACACCUUUGGUCUGAGGAAGAUGUAGUUGAAGUGUCUGCUGAAAUAACCCCACAGAAAAGGGAGGAAUGUCGACGUACUCUCUAUGUACUCUAGACCCAACGUGAACUAUCCUGCCUUUAUCUAUACAAUGAAGAAAGCAUGGAAAACUGAAGCUGUUACAUGUUCUCAAAAGGAACCAGGUCACUUCACAUUCGUUUUUCAAUCGGAGGAGGAAAAACAACGAGUCAUGAAGACCUCACCUUGGUCAUAUUCUAGCAAUUUGUUUGUUCUGCAACAGUGUCAGCCUGAAGUUGAGCACUGCUAUGAGUUCACUAGGGCAGCAUUCUGGGUGUGCAUUGGAGGAAUUCCCCUUGGCUGGAGAGUAGAAAAAGUGUUAAUUGAUCUGGGCAAAAGGCUGGGAAAUGUUAUAGAAGUUCAACUCGACUCAACUAGCAAUGUUCAGAAUAGAGGAGGUAGAGUAAGAGUUGAAAUUGAUUUGACCUUACCUCUGAAAUCGGGGGCUAUUCUGGAUAUCGGUAACAAAUGGCUAUGGGUGGAAUUUAAGUACGAGCGUCUCCCACAUUAUUGUUACUCUUGUGGUAGAAUCGGAUACUAUGCAACCGACUGUUCUGAAGUCCCAUACGUAACAUCACCCUGGGCAAUGAACAAAAUAGGGUCAUAUGGAUCCUGGCUGAAGGCAGAGGCUCGUGACCAUAUCCCUUACUGGGAUGCUUUCUAUGGGAAAAUUGAUGAAGAGUUUGUAGUGGAAGAGACGGUACCUGUAUCACCCACUCAACCUAGUGGAAUGGACCUUAUAGCUCGAGAGGCAGCAUCUGAUAUGCAAAUUGUAGCCUGCAGCAAAAAAAGAUCAUAAAGCAGUCCAGAACAGGAGGCAAGCCCAGCAAAUGUCCCCAGUGAAGUAGUAGGCCGAGACCAUGGCAAACAGGUAUUAUGCCCUGAAUCCCAAAAACCAAUGUUAUCAAAAGUUGGAAAAUGCAGCAAAAAGAAUAUGAAAGUACAAAAGGCAAAAAAAAUAGAAAUGCAUACCAGAAACAUCUCCUCUCCUUAUAGAUGAUGUAGACCUUCUGGAGAUCUUGAUGAAGUUGAUCAAAGAUGGACACGAGUGGGCUUUUGGUGGUUAGUCCUAAUAAGCCACCACUGAAGCCAUGAAAAUCGUUAAUUGGAAUUGUCAGGGGCUGGGCAACCCUUUGACAUUCCAAGAACUGAGAGCUUUAAUUGCUCUCGAAAGGCCCAGUUUACUUUUUCUCAUGGAGACAAAAAAAAAAAAAAGCAACUCUGGUGGAAAAUGUUUGCAAAAAGUUACAAUUCCAGAACCUCUACUUAGUUAAUCCAACAGGAAUAUCGGGUGGACUGGCUAUAAUGUGGCAAGAGGAAAUUGCUUUAAAGGUGCAAGCAAGUUCAAAGCAGUUCAUAGAUGUGGUGUGUACUGAUCUUGCAAGCAGACAAAUUAUGCAGAUUACCUUUGUCUAUGCCUCUACUGACUUUGGGGAGCGUAUGACCUUAUGGCAACUGUUGGGGACUCUUAAACCUCCAACUCCUAUCCCAUGGAUUUGUAUGGGAGAUUUUAACGAGAUACUGUAUGUAUGGGAGAAAGUGGGGAAAAAAGAAGUGGACAAUAGAAGAAUCGCAGCAUUUAGAAAUAUGCUUAAUGAUCUAUCCCUAAUGGAUGUAGAUAGCCAUGGAUGUGCAUACACAUGGGCUAAUAAUAAGGAAGGGGAAGAUUUGGUCAAAAAGCGACUUGAUAGAGUGCUUUGUACUUUAGAGUGGAGAGUUACCUUUCAUGAAGCAGAAGUCCAGGCUCUUCCAGCCAUCGGCUCCGACCACAGUCCUCUAGUCCUUCGACUAUACCCUGGAGCAAAGAAGAGGAAGAAACAAUUCAAAUUGGAAGCUUUCUGGACAUAGCAUGCAGAAUACCAGGAAGUUAUCCAACAAAUAUGGGCCACAAAACCAAUCCAAAUUUCCUCUUUCUCAGAGAAAUUAUGGGAGACAUCACAAGUAUUAUCAAAGUGGAGUAAAGAGAAGUUUGGUAAUGCCUCUUUGCAGAUAAAAGAGCUUAAUCAAGCCUUAAUAGAAAUUACGAAUCAAACAUUUCAGCAUACAAGUAAGAAGCAAGUGCAGAUCAUCAUCAGUCAAAUAGAAAAACUGAGAAAACAGGAAGAACAGUUCUGGGGAAUGAGAUCACGUAUCAAGUGGUUACAUUGGGGAGACAAAAACACCAGAUUUUUCCAUGCUACAACAAUCCAAAGAAGGCAGAAAAAUCGUGUUACUAUGCUGCAACUAGAAGAUCAUAGCUGGUGCCGAGAUCCAAUUAUUCUACAGAAACAUAUCCAGUCUUUCUACAAGAAUUUAUAAAGGACUGAGGGUCCAAGAAAUUACCAACCUGUCCUAAAUCAAUGCCCAUCCCCAAUAACAGAGAAUAUAAACGAAGAACUGGUGGCAAUACUUUUAUUGGAGGAAAUUCAUGCAGCUGUUUUUCAGUUGGGAGCUUUCAAAGCCCCUGGCCCUGACGGCUUCAAUGGUAUCUUCUACCAACAAUCAUGGGAAACUAUAAAAACUGACCUGAUGUAGCUCGUCCAGGAUUUCUUUCAGAAGAGCAUUCUUGAUCCUCGACUCAACCAGACACACAUAGCUUUGAUUCCUAAAGUUAAAAGUCCUGAAAACAUCAGCCAAUACAGACCAAUUAGUCUUUGCAACUUCAGUUACAAAGUAAUCUAAAAAAUCCUUGCAAACAGACUAAAUAAGUGGUUGCCACUUAUCAUUGAACCAGAGCAGAGUGCUUUGUUCAGGAGAGGCAAAUUCAAGACAACAUCUUCAUAGUACAGGAAGUUCUGCACAACUGCGCAUUAAAAAAAAAGAAGAAGAAAAAACAUCAGGCUAUCUUGAAGCUUGAUAUGUAGAAAGCAUAUGACCGGAUUGAAUGGGACUUUGUGAGGGAUAGUAUGCUGCACAUGGGUUUUUGUGCUAAAUGGGUUUCAUUAAUUAUGCAGUGUAUAUCUACUCUUACUUUCGGCGUGAAAUUCAAUGGAGAACCUACCUCUUUCUUCCAUCCUUCGCGAGGACUCAAACAAGGUGAUCCACUCUCACCCUAUAUAUUCAUCCUGAUUUCCAAUGUAUUGACCUGGCUGAUGAAAAAAGCAUUAGCAGAUGGUAAUAUCAAAGGCAUACAGAUAAAUAGGUCUUGUCCUAAACUGUCACAUCUUCUGUUUGCCGAUGAUGUCAUAUUUUUUAUGGAUGGAACUCUUAUAGAAUGCCAGAAUCUAGCAUAAAUACUUAACCAAUACUGCUAUGCUACGGGUCAAGUAAUUAAUUUAAACAAAUCAUGGAUCUACUUUAGUGUUAACUCCCCUGCAUUAUUAAAAAGCAACAUGGCCACAGAAUUGAGAGUCUCUGUACUAGAGAAAAUAGGCAAAUAUUUGGGCAUACCUACAGAGUGGGGUCAAUCCAAGAAAGAUAUGUUUGCAUGGAUUUUGGCCAGAGUAAAUUCAAAGUUAGAAGGCUGGAAAGAAAAAUUACUCACAAAGGCAGGAAGGAAGUAUUAAUAAUAAGUGUAGUGCAAUCCCUACCUACCUAUGCAAUGUCCAUAUUCAAGCUACCAGUGUCUAUCUGGAGAUCCAUAGAAAAACGAAUUGCGUCAUCUUGGUGGCAGUAUGGUGAUGCUAAACGCGGGAUGCACUGGAAAAGUUGGGAAGUAUUGAAAACCCGAAAGGAUACAGGUGGACUUGGUUUUAAAGAUCUGCUUACCUUUAAUCAAGCCAUGCUUGGCAAGCAAACCUGAAGAUUAGCUAAUUCCCCUUCGGCUUUAUGGAGCAGAGUGCUGAAAGGGAUCUACUUUCCCAAUGGUGAUGUCUAGACAGUUGCUAAGGGACAUCGACCAUCAUGGGGCUGGCAAAGUUUAAUGCUUGGCAGAGACACAAUAAAGAGCAACAUUAAAUGGUCAGUAGGGGACGGGAAUUCUAUUUGUAUUCAAGAAGACAAAUGGCUCUCACAAGGAAUUAUAGGCGGUCAAGCAAACCAAACAGAUCACUUUCUAGUGUCUGAACUGAUCAAUGCAGAAACUAGAAAAUGGAAACAACAAACAAUCCAACAGUUCUACGAUGCAAAUAUUGCUAACAAAAUAUUAGCAAUCCCUCUAAGCCAACAAUCCAAGCCAGAUUCGCUCAUAUGGAAAGGCAACAGAAUAGGGCAGUACUCUGUCAAAAGUGGAUACAACAGAGCCAUUUUAACAACAAGCAUCACAGAUCAUAAUCGACCCUCUUGUUCAUUUCAGCAACCACGCACCUUAUGGACUCAAAUCUGAAGUCUUGACGCGCCACCAAAGGUUCGAACUUUUCUUUGGAGUCUCUGUCAAAACGCCCUCCCUACAAGAGAGAACCUACAUAAAAGGAAAAUUAUUCAAGAUCCAUUAUGCCCGUUCUGCCACUCUAGUAUCGAAACUACAGAGCACCUUUUUUUCUUGUGUAAAUGGACAAGGAAAAUAUGGGAUGACUCGAGAUUUGAUGGGAUCAGACCCAGAAACGGCAUAGAGCGAACAGAUCAGUGGAUUUUCGAAGCUUUUAGAGGAGAUAAGCUCUUACCUGCACGAGAGCUCACUAGUAUGCUUCUGUGGAACAUCUGGAAGGCGAGAAAUAGCUGGAUUUUUCGAGCAAAAUACCCUAGACCAGCAAAUCUACUGAUUUCGGCACAGGAACAACAUAUCUCUUUCAAUCAAGUCGAAACAAUAAUUACGACAACUCACACGAGACAAACUUGAUUAGUGGAGACCUCCGGAAGGACAGGAUCUGAAGCUGAAUGUUGAUGCGGCAUGGUGUUCAGGCGAGUUUUUGUGUUCUGUGGUUGGAGUAGUGCGUGAUUCGUCUGGAAGAGCUGUCGAAGGCUUCGCUUCCACGGCUAGGGUUUCUUCGUUGCACGAAGCGGAAGCUGAGGCGAUUUUACAUGGGAUCUUAUAUACCCAGGAACUUCAAUUGCGACACGUGGGAGACUUCGGAAGUCGAAGAGUUAAGUGGACAAUUGAAAGCGAUUGUUCAGCGGUGGUAGAAAUGGUAGUGGGCCGGGCCGACCCUUCGUGGAACCUAAAUGUAAUUGUGCAGUGUUGCAGGAGUGCGCUAAUUCAAAGCAACAACUGAUAUGGCUAGUAUAAGUACCUAGAGGGGGGGUGAAUAGGUAUAACGAGUAAUUUCUAAUGAUAAUCGCACAAUACUAGACAGUUGAUAGAAAUGAGACAAUUUUUCCUCGUCAAUAAACAAACAACGAUCAAAGUAAGACUGAGAGUAGGGAAGAGAAAAUUGAACACGAGGUUUAUAGUGGUUCGGCUUAUUUUUAAGCCUACGUCCACUCUUCUGCACCGACAGCCCACUGGCUGGAUUCCACUAUGAACAAAGAGAUAUUACAGCACUGUUCUUCCUUGAUUUCUUGGUGUAGAAGAUCUACCACACUCUCUCAAGGUAUCACUAAGUAUAGACUCUCUUUGUGUGUACAGUUUCGCUCAAUAUGAAUUGACUAAUAAUCAAUGAGCUUCAGACUCUGGAAUUUCUCUAUCGAGCACACACUAGAAUAACUGGAACGUCUUAUUUUUAUACUCCUUUAUGCCAUUAUACCCGUUGGCACUUACCAAAGGAAUUCUUCCAAUCUUCCCGUUGGAUAGAAUCAAUUAAGAAGGUCAUUCGAGCUAUUAAAUGAACAUGUCGAUAGCCCAUCAAUCCUGUUUGCCCAUACAAUCAGGAUCUUGGUUUCCAAGAAUAGAACAUUCCAAGAAUAUUUCGUCAAUCAUCGGAUCUUCAACCGAUCUUGAUUUUGAAUAAUUAAUCCGUUGUAUCAAAUCCAGCCAAGAGAUCUUCUCCAGUCGAUAAGAUCAAAUCCUUAACCAAACACUUUAGCUCUGGAUCGCUUUCGUCACUGGAUUAGAAACUGUCAAUGAGAAUAGUCUUGAGUCUUGAGUCUUGUAUGCUGAGUCUGGUGUUCUGAAAGUCUUCAGACUCUAAGUACACGGGUCUGCACAGCUUCCAGACUAGACUGAUAGAAACGUUUUGUCAGCUUCAAAACACUCUAGAGAGAUUUCUCCAACAACAACAUCACGGUGAUCCAUUGCCCACGCGAAGCAAAUGCAGCAGCAGAUUGGCUUGCAUGGAAUCAUCGAGUACAUAAUCUCCCUCUAAAUUGGUUGAAUUCACCCCCGCUUCCUCUAUGGAAUAUUUUAUGUGCAGAUAUUUAUCCAUCUGUGUUAUGUAAGACUUUUCCUUAACCGUUAAUAGCACGUACUAUUUUGACCAAAAAAAAAAAUUUGCAUUAUGUUCAAUCGGCCAUGUUCAGUCGCCCUUUCAUGCUAGAGCGGAAUUGGUAAGAAUUUAAAGCUAUAGUUCUGAUUAUAACUGUAGGGCGCACGUAGCUGCAUACAUCGACGCGCCUAGUUUGUCGUCCAUGUGGAUUCACAUCUUUGGGUUAGUGACUCUGUCCAAGAUGGUGUUAAUUCUCUAUGUGUCUGACGAGUGUGCCCUGUCUAAGGCGGUUCAAGGUGGACUAUCAUUACCCAGAAGAUCCAAAAUACUUUGACCUCGGCAAUUGAAAUGUCUCAAGCUAAAUCCUGGAGAUGCUGUAGAUAAUUCAGUCUUCCUUUUCGAAUAUCUUCGUUCCUCCUCUUGUACAGAUUCCAGUUUCUCAAAAAUGCUAACCUUGCAAUUCCACAUACAAGUUAAACUUUAUCAUCACAACCUUCAUAUUCAAUAUAGGCCCACUGCCUUUUUGGCAGUUCUUGCUUGAAAUCAGAGUUCUUAUGAGGCAGCCACCUUUUUUUUUUUUUUGUCCUUUCGGUUUGAUGCAGCAUCAUCACUCCAUUUCUAACGCGAAAAGGCUCUGUCAUCCUUUUUCCACAUUAAUCUCGACGUGGCACUACCUAGUUCCCAGUAAGAUAAACUUUUUUAUUUUUUCUCAAGGAAUGCAAACCUGAGUCUGGUGACCCGGAGAAAUCAUGUCCAUGGGGGAACAAUUUAAUGUUCACUGCUUUCUGUCUUAGAAGUAACAUUAUAUAGAUUUAAGAUACAAAAGAAGAUAAGGGGUUUAACAAAAUUAAUCACAUCGUAAUAAUCUAAAGGUUACCUUAAUUUGAAGAGAGAAUCCAGGGUUUGCUACCUAGGUAGUACCCACCGUGGGAUUGACUCGGUUGCUAGGGCAUUUUCAUGCUUUCAACUUAAAAAUCGAUGGUUGUGUGUUUGAUUCCUGCCUUGGGAAACUCAGAUUUUCAAUUGUGUGUUCUAUUCCUGCCUUGGGAAACUUGGACUUAAAGUUCGGAGUCAUGCAUUAUUAAUUUCCCUUCAAAUGGCAGAUUGACUCGGUUCCGCCCCUGGAUCAUCAAUGCAAAAAUAUAUGCUGGACUUAUAGGUCAGUUUCAAAUCGUUGUAAAUUUAGCUUUAGGGAGUAUAACCUCGAUACUUUAUUGCACUGUUAUAUAUUGUAGGAACUUUUAAGCUAAGAUUUCGAGUGUUUGAUUAAUGAGUUUGGCAUUUCAAAAUUUCGGAACCAUUUAAUAAAACAAGAAAAGUACCAAGCCCUCCUUAUGUCUGCCUUCUUGAGAAGGCACAACUGCUAAAAUUGCUCUAGCUUUCACCUAAUUUCGCUUGGAAAUGUCAUUGUUAACUUUGUAAAGGUAGAAGCUGUCGCCAAACAUAGUAACUUUUUUAGAACUAGAAGUAGCCGUUUGUUGUCACAAAAUAAUAUCAAAUCAGCACUAACUACGAAUUUUGGAUUGUUAUGACCAGCACAACAUCUCGCUAAUUAUGUUAAGAAUGUUAAGAAUUGAUUGUGAUUUUUCUUUCUUCAUUUUCGUCUAUCGUUUGACAGUUGGGUUUAUUUAGUAUUGCAUAUUUAAAGUCACUUAAGACACGCAAAUAUUUACAAGUAGUGCAUAUCGAUUAGGAAAUUUUCCAAAGUUUAAAACUUGCAAUUUAUUUUUUUGUUCUCAAAGUACAAUUGUUUUUUUUUAAACUAUAAGAGACCUUAAAUGAUUUUUCUUUUUCAAGUUAUUUUUUCCUUCUCGUCGGUGGCUGACUUGUUCAAUCAUUUGGGUAAGGCUAUCUUAUCACAAUAGAUAGGACUGGAUAGAUCAAGGUGAGAUAGCUAGUAUAAGCACCUAGAGGGGGGUGAAUAGGUGAACAAACAAAUUCUCGAUAUACGGAAGCAAUUCUAGGCAAUCGAUAGAAAGGAAAAUACGAUCAAAGUAAAGUAAAGGUUAGGGAAGAGAAAAUUGAACACAAGAUUUAUAGUGGUUCGGCUUAUUCCAAGCCUACGUCCACUCUUCCGCACUGACAGCCUACCGGCUGGAUUUCACUAUGAACAAAAGAGAAGUUACAGCACAGCUUUUCCUUGAUUCCACAGUGUAGAUGUUCUAUCACACUUCCUCAAGGUUUCUCACGAAUAUAGACUCUCUUUUGUUUACACGAUUUUGCUCAACAAAUGAAUUGACUAAGAACAAGGAGCUUCAGACUUUGGAAUUCUUCUAUUGUGCACACUCUCGAAGAACUGGAACGUCUUCCUUAUAUACUCCUUCAUGCCAUUAUACCCGUUGGCACUUACCAAAUGAAUUCCUCCAAUCUACCCAUUGGACGGAAUCAAUUAGGAAGAUCAUUCGAGCUAUUAAAGGAACAUGUCGAUAGCCCAUCAAUCCUGUUCGCCCAUACAAUUAGGAUCUCGGUUUCCAUAAGUAGAACCUUCCAAGUAUACUUUGCCAAUCAUCGGAUCCUUAAUCUUCGAAUCAAUUAUGAUCAAAUAAAGGAUUCCGUUAUGUCAUAUCCAGCCAAGAGCUCUUCUCCAGUCGAUAAGGCCACAUCUUUAAUGAAACAUCCAGUUCUGGAUAGCCUUUUUUCAACGGAUUAGAAACUGUCAAUGAGGAUAGACUUUGAGUCUUGAGUCUGGCUGUCCGGAGGUCUUCAGACUUUAAAUAGCAGAGUCUGCAAGUCUUCAGACUAGACUGAUGGAAACAUUUUGUCAACUUCAAAACACUUCAAGAGGAUUUCUCCAACACAAGGGAAUAAUCACGUGACAUUCUAAAUUUUCCUUCUAUUUAUUAGAUUAGCAAUUAUUGUGUUAUGUUGACAUGAAAUUUCAUACUAAAAUUAAAGAAAGACAUCAUUGGCUUGUCAGAUAUAGAUCUUACGUUAUAUAUAUAGGUAUAUUACAAUACAUAGGGCAUGCUUAGCACUUCAUGAUUCUAACAUUAGAUCUUGCACACAUUGGAUUACAUAAAUUUCAUGAGCAUUUCAUUAUAAUUGCAAAAGUGUCGCCAUAUUAAUGAAUAUUGUGAUAGUGGCAAGAUUACUAUACACCAAAAAUGCCCAAAAUGCCUUUAGGAUACACAAAUAUAAAUUUAUUUAUACAUGAGUCUCCUAUUUUUUCACAAAGACAUUGAUUUUUAUCACCUGUUUCAAUUACAUUCUCUCUCCACUUUUAUAAUCGCAAGCUUUGCGAACUAAAGAUAGGCCACUUAUCGCUCGUUUAACUUGUCACAUCUCAUUCAUUUCAAAUCAUAUGUUUUAGCUAUGCAAAUUAUAUCAUGAAUGACAUCAUUUUUGAAUUCUAGCCCAUUAGCUAGUGUUGAUUUAAUAUUUUCUCGCUUGGUUUUAAGGUGAAUCAAACUCUAUGUUCACGCAAAUCUUUCCAUCCAAGGUAAGUGAAUCUCUAGGGAUAAAGUGGGCUGACCCACUUAGUACUCUUGAUCUUUGUGUAAUUUUAGCUUAAAGUACAUUCUAGAUCCAUGUUAUUUAAGGGAAUAAGUGAUUACAUGAUUAGCUUAUAAGAGGCAAAACUAUAUGUAUGAGUGACUUUAGAUAAGCUUGCACAGUGGUUAUUGCUUUGUCAAUAUAAGAUUAAAAUUAUGUUUACUAAUGCCAUGUAAUUUGCUAUGAGUUAUGAUUUUAUAUGUAUGACUCAUCAUGACUAUAUCUCAUGAAUAAGAACAUGGUCAAGUGAUUUCAAGGUCAAGUGAUUUCAAGAGGAUUUUGAAUGACUUUGAUGAGCAAAAGUGUUAGAGAGAUAGAACCAUGCAUGCAAAAGGGUAAAAUAGUAAUUUUCGCAAUACAAAGGCAAACAUGUAAAUUUACAACAUAUAAAUUCUUAUAUGAAAAAUGAAAUUUUAUUAAAUUUUUUUAUUAGUUAGCUGUUAAGUUAGACUAAUUGAAGGAACUAAAAUCAUGUAAAAAGUCCAAGUAUUGUAAAAUAUGGGCUAUUUUAUAAUUUCAUAAAGUUAGAAGUCUCAUAUCCCAAAACUGAAAAUUAGGGGGGCUGUUUAUUUGUUAAGGAUGCUUAUGAUGGCAGGUUCUUAUGUAAUUAUACAAUUAUUUGUCUAAUCUAGACAAUUUAUCCAACUAGUCAAAAUGUUGACUUAGUUCUGAAAGUAUUUUGAAAAGUUUGUUGUUUUGGUAAUUUUACAAAAUCCGGGACAAAUAUAUAAUGCCAGAAGAUGAUCAUUUGGAACAAGUAGCAAAUGAUAGCAAAUGAGUGGCAUUAGCUAGAGCUAGAUUAAGAGAUAAAUUGAGAUGCGAACUGCAUUGGGAUUGAUGCUAUGUGACUUCCACCAAUGAAAUUAUGUAGCAUGGAGUGGGGAGAUAUUAUGGUCCAUAUAAUUUUUAAAACCUCACUUUAAUAUAUGAAAAUAAUCGAGAGAUUAAUAAAUUGUACAUUGAACUAUCAUGAAAGAAGUUCUUUGUUGAUAUCCUUUGAGACAUGUACAUGGUUAUAUUACUGUUGCUAUACAUACAUGUGAUUCACGCCAUGUACAAGGUGAAAUGAUACUUGGUUUUUAAUGGAAAGUUCGGAAUAACCAUAAACUUAUGUGAUGUGAAUGUUGUGACCUCCUGGAUUGAAUUGUUUUAUGAAUAAUAAUUCGUUGAUUCGUAAAUGAUAAUAACUGGUUAUAUGGUUUACAUUUUUAAUAUGAGAAAUGAUAAGAGAUUAGUGUGAGGACCGUGUGCCCUUUUGAUUUUGCAAUGAAGAUCUUUGGAUGCUAUGCAAUUUAUCGAAUGUCCGGCACGCCCUUUUGGAAUCACUUUGUGUAAGCUAUGCACGCUUAAGCCAUGCUUGACAUGUAGAUGAGAAAUGAUAAUCCAUGUUAAGUAAGCAUACACAAUAUCACAUGUUAGUGUGAUAUCAUAAAUCCAAUCAAUCAUUUCGGACCAUGCAAAAGACGAUAAUCAAUCUUGUGCUUGUACUUGAGAAAAAAUGGUCACUUGAUUGAAUUAUAGAUACAAGAUAGUGCAUCAUGAGUUGCCACUGUUAUUAAACUAGGACAAGUGCUUAAGAAAUAAAAUAUUUGCCUAUGCUUGUAAAGGGUUCGUAUAUUGUCUUCAAUAUAUUGUGCGUGAAUGAAUUUAAACAUUGAUACAUUUUGAUUUUUAUAUCCUCACACAGAAUGCAGCGUUAAAUAAUUAGUAAAAAAAAAAAAAAAAUCAAAAUCUGAAACAUAAAGAAGAGCUGCAAGCUUUGCUGCAGUUGCAGCAAAUUUCAAUUUCUACACUUUACUCAUAUAAAUCGACAGAAGCGCUAUUUCUCUUGGGGUGAAAUCGCGAUCUGGGAAGGAAAGAUGCAGUUCUUCGGGGGCUCCGACAUCAGCCCGUCGCCACCGGCACCAACAGCGGCGGGGCACAACGCGAACGUGAUGUACAUGUUCAACCGGAACGGGGUGUGCCUGUUCUACCGGGAGUGGAACCGCCCCCUCCGGACCCUGAAUCCCCAGCAGGACCACAAGCUCAUGUUCGGCCUCCUCUUCUCCCUCAAAUCCCUCACCGCCAAGAUGGACCCCACCGGGCAUGUACCUUCUCUCCCGAUCUUUCCUCAAAUUCGUGGGGAAGUUGAAUGAAUUCCCGAGUACGGUUGGCCAAUCGCGCGAGGCAUCGGAAAUGGCGGGUCUUGAUCUGUCUGAUAGAAUUUUGCAUCUUUUUGCGUUGUCUUAGGAAUGUAGAUGCCUUUCUGAUGAUCUGCUUUGACUUUGAUUCUUUGACGUAAUUGGUCUCCGAACACUCUCCCAAAUGGUUAAUGCGAUUAAAUGUUGCCGAAAUCGCUGAAAUAAUGACCUUUUGAAUCAUGUGUAUUCAAUUCAGGUACCAUUUGAUGGCAAUCUGGCUUUUUAAUUUGGUAAUUUAGAAGACUCUUGCCAACCAUCAAUCUGCUGUUUUUUUUUUCGGUCAUCUUAUUCCUCAUGCCUUUGCAGAUAAUAUUGGUAACGCAUCCUAGGACUGGUGAUCUACGAGAAACUUUGAAGUAUAUAUACAGUCUAUAUGUUGAAUAUGUGGCUAAAAACCCUCUCUAUGAUCCAGGAACUCCUAUCAGGUGACUGAUGAACUUUUGUUGGUUUAAACUAGUUGAUUAGAUGACGCGCGUCAAUGCUGAUGAUCUAUUAUUUAAAUAGUGUUCUAUAGGGGACCAAUGUAAUUGUUAGUGAAACUCUUCUUUUCGACAAAAUGGAACGCCAGAGUACCAAGAAAUACCUUCUUAAAGCCUACAAACCUUUCCUAACCUUCUCUUACAACACUCGUUCACAAAACAAGAUCACCCAGACGCACACAACUGCCAGGUAAGCCCCUCCGUUUAUCGGGCAGGAACAGAGCAUAGCUAAUUGCAGGUUUUAUCUUUUCAUAUGAGGAAAAGCUAACAAGAUUUUCAAUUAACACAUUGUUCUUAAUAUGAGUUUCUGCUGACAAAAGAAAGAAACAUUGUGUAUAUACAAUUGUGCCUCUUCAUCAAUGUGAUAGAAUUUUCCCUCUUAGAAACAGAGUGUAUGUAUACCCAGACAAGGCCCACGCUUACUGGGUAGAGGCUAAGUCUUGGCUAGAAUCUAGAGACCUAGUCUUGGGCAUUCGGGUAAGUUAUGACAAUGGACAUGAUCAGACAUAGGUUCCGGGAAAAAAAAAUCAGGAUUUGUCAUGAUUUUGAGGUCGCCGAAGAGGUUAUGAUAAAGCUGAUGUCUGGCCUCAAGUAAGUUAUGAAUCUGAGUUUGCUAAAGCUCACCUCUGACCACCGAAAUCUGCCGGCAUCUCCAUUAACUUUCUGACGAUGCCUUCCUGGAGAGUUGGAGAAGGAGAUGAAAUGUGGGAAUUAGGUUUGAUGGUUUCACUUGAGUGCGUGGGGAAACGGAGGACGAAAAUUUGAUGGUUAGGCUUGUUGCAGGGUAAUAUGCUUUUCUGAGGUCUUUUCUGGAAUCUGCUCUUUUAGCAUCGUCAAUACCGAAAGAUGAACCGGUAGAAUAUGAUUACAUACGUCUUGACUUAACUUUUCGCAACUUUAUUCGGUUGAAAAUAUGAUUGUUAGGCCUGCGGCAGGGUUAUAUGCCUUUGAGGGCGUUCGCUUUCAAUAAUGUACUCACUCAGCCUCGCCGAUACCGAAAGACGAAUCAAUAGAAAAUGAUUACUUACGCCUUGACUUGAAUUUUGGGUCGCCACUUUAUCGUGUCGAAAAUUUGAUAAUUAGGCUUGCGGCAGGGUAAUAUGCUUUGAGGGUGUUCUGCUCCUUUGAAUAAUCUGCACUCUUCGCCUCGCCUCGCCUCGCCUCGCCUCGCCUCGCCUCGCCGAUAGGGAAAGACGAAUCAGUAUAAAAUGAUUACUUACGCCUUGACUUGAAGUAACUUCAUCCAGUUCCGCCAAUAUCGCUUCUCUAUAUUUUUUUCCCCCUUCUUUUUUGUUAAUAAAUCCAGAUUUCUAUACACGCGGUUUCUAAUGACAGAGGCAUCGGCAAACAACGUAGUUAGAGAUGUACUCGGUCAGCGUAGAUCUAUCAAGUAACAUCUAGAAAAAAAAAUCAUAAAAAACUCAAAACUAUGCUCAUUAUGACGUAUUUAUCCUACAUAUUUUUAUGUGCUAUAAAGAACCCCAAAUCAUGCAUACUGUGGCGCAUAUACCUUAUAUUUUGUUUUUAAUGUAAAAAACUCAAAACUUGUAACUUAUGUGACACAUUUACCAUUCGUUACUAUAAAUGUUUUUUAAACCAAAGCAAUAUCGUUUCACGUGGGUGCUAUAGCUAUGUCAAUGUUAUUUACUUUCUCACGUUCAUGUAGACAGAUUUUUAAAAGUCCCCAUUGAUAAAAUUUUGACUAAAGGUAAAUUUGUCACAAUAGUACAAAUUUUGGAUUUUUGAUAUCACAGAAAUUUUUUUAGGGUAAUUGUCUCACAGCAGGCAUAAUUUAAGGUUUUUGAUGGCUUUUGCCAUUUUUUAUUAGCUAAACUAUUUUAUUUCUUCCUUUUGGUAAGAGAAACUCAUAUUACUUGCGAUAAAUAUUUGUAAGAUACACGUAGUCAAAAGGCGAAUCUACAUUAUCAAUAAAUGUAGGUGGUGCGUUCCUUGCAUGGAUCGUCAAUGGAGCUACUUUUUGUCCUGCUGACUUCUUUUUUGGCUCAGUUAAUUUUUAUUCCUUGAACAAGUUUCUAGUAGAACAACGUGUUUAGUGACUAUAUAAAAUUUCAAUUCCCAAAAGAGAAAAAGAACAUAAAUGCAUUUGGUAUGGUCCAAAAAUUUUUUAUUCCCAAUUUUUUUUCAUUUUAACUAUAAAAAUGUCAGUGGAGACUUAAUAUUUCAUGUUUGGAUAAAACUGAACUUUUGUAAGGAUUUAAAUGAUUAAGAUAUUCUAAGAUGAUCUUAAAAAUCCAACGUAAUAGUUAAUCAAAGAUGGAUGACUGGAAAUGGUAGCAAAGAGUCGUACGGGUUUAUAACUUGCAAUAAGAGGAGGUUGACAGUAAAUCAAUGCGCAUUAUAAUUGCAUAGGCCUUUUGAGCUUUUCUAGCUACAAGAAAAAGAGCAAACGUUUCUUGGUGGAAUAAGCAAUGAUGAAACAACUGAGGAUGGAGGUGAUCAUAAAGUUGGUGUGCUUAUUUAUACAAACUCAUCAAACCUUCAUGCAAAUGACAUUAGGACUCCAUGGAUCAUAGGGUUAUUCAAUCGCUAUGAACACAAGGCAAAUGGUAAUACAAAUCACUUGUUGAGAGCAUCUAAUUUUCUAUUAAAACAUAAUUGUGAAAAAUCUUUAAAAAAUUCUCCAAUAGAAUCUUAAGGAGAGUCAUCAAGUUUUGGGGACCUAGCAUUGUCUUUAAAAGAAAACGGCAUUCAAAAAUUCAUAUAGUAAAGUCCUAAAAGCUUAUUCAAUUAUAAAUCUAAUUUUCAUCAAUUUUUUUAAACAUUUUUUGUGCUAAACUAAUUCUGAAAUAGAAUUAACAUUAAAAUCUAGUAAAACUACUCAAAAUCCGAUUUUUAAUUUUUUUCCUAAAUUUCUUUUUUUUUUUUUAAUUUUUUUAUUCUAAAAAAUGGGGACUCAAAUCAAGUAAGGAGAUUGGACCUUGUGUCGAUUAUAUAAAGACGAGCAUUAGGUUAUCUUGAGCUAGCUUUUCUAAAACAAGCUUAUUUCUCUUUUUGUUUAUGGGAACAAAGUAGUAGCAUUUUUCAACUUCUUGUUUUUGUUUUGAAUUUAUUCCCUGAUCAUACUAGUCUGUUUCUAUUUCCUGGCCAUUGAUUUGUUUUGGAAAUUAAAAAGAUUUGUUGACAUUACCAAAUGAAUUUUUGUGCUUUUUCUGUUCCAAGAAACAAAAGAACAGAAAAAUAGAAGAGUAAAAUGGUUACUAAAUAGGGCCUUAUUGUGUAAUCCUUGUAAGUAAUUUCCUUUUUCCCCAUUUUUAAUUAAAUCCUAAUUAAUUAACAUCAUCGUAUUGAUGCACCCAUUGUGAAAACAGACUAGCUCCGUCCCCACCCGCAAUGCACAUAUAGGUUAUCUUCCUGCAACGAUCUAUAUAAUCAUUGGAUAUGAUUUUGUGCAUAAAUUUCUUUUUGAAUUUAGGCUUGCGGUUCUAGAUGUGUUCAUGUGAGUACAAGAAGUUUGUAAAAUUAGCUGAUCGAAAUGUAGUGCAUUAUGUUCGAUUGGCUAUAUUCAGUUGACCUUUCAUGCUAGACCGGAAUUGGCAAGAACAUGAAGCUAUAGUUCUGAUUAUAACCGCAGGGCGCACUUAGUUUGUAAAAUCAGCUCAUUGGCGUCCAUCGGGAUUCACAUAUUUGGAUUAGUGACUCGGGUCCAUGAUGGUGUUAAUUCUCUAUGUAUUUGACGAGUGUGCCAUGUCUAAUGCAGCUCAAGGUGGACUAUCAUUACCUGGAAGAGCCAAAAUACUUUGACCUCGGCAAUUGAAUUAUCUCAAGCUACCUCCUCAAUUGAAUCCUGGAGGUGCUGUCCAUAAUUUAGUCUUCCUUUUCGAAUAUCUUCGUUCCUCCUCUUGUACAGAUACCGGUUUCCCAAUAAUGUUAACCUUGUAAUUCCAUGUUCAAGUUAACUUUACCAUCACAGCCUUCAUAUCAAAUAUGGGUUCAUUGCAGCUUGAAUUGAUAAAUGAAGGUAUGGUUUAUUAUUUAUAUAUUUUAAGGCUCCUCCUCAUGUAUAAAUUGGUCGUUAGCCUAAGCCCGAAGCGUGAAAAUAUAUAAUUGGGGAGGCAAAUAGAGGUGAAAAUAUGUAAUUAGGGAGAUAAAUAGAGGCAUGAAAGAUUUGAACUAGAAAAUCUUAAGCGAACAGGUGGAUGGAGACCGCAUAAAUAUAAAGAACAUAUAAGAUUCAUUUUCAAGCGACAUGGGAUAAUAUUUUAAUAUCCUAUCUCAUGUGCAAGUCAGAUUACGAGUAGCACGUAGAACUUUUGACAACGGCACUUCGAAUUUGAUUAAUUGGGGGUGGAGAUACAAUUGCAGAAGGGAUUAUACUGACCUUGAUACCAUGUGAGAAUUUUAUGUUGUUUUGUAAUUUAAGUUGAUAGACAAAUGCGUGAUUUACUAUUUAUAUAUUUUAAUAGGUUUGAUAUAGCAACGUUUUUCUUGUUUCUAACACGAAAAUGUUCUGUCAGCCCUUUUCCACGUCAAUCUCCACGUGGCACUACCUAGGACCCUGUAAGAUAUACUUUUCUUUUCUCUCAGGGUGAUUUGAAUUAAGGGAUGCAUGUCGGAGACGGGUGAUGCUGAGAAUUCAUGUCAAUGGGGGCACAUUUCAACGCUCAUCACCGUAAAAGCCUAGAAGUAACAUCAUAUUGAUUUAAGAUACAAAAGAAGAGAGGGGUUUGACAAAAUCAGUUACACGUAAAUAAGACCUCCUUAAUUCGAAUAGAGGAUCCUGGGAUUGCUAUUUCAAUCUAAGGUAGUAUCCACCAUGGAAUUGACUCGGUAGCAAGGGCAUUUCCAUGCUGUCAGCUUGAGAACUGGGUCUUAAAGUGUAGUCAUGCUGGUGGACUACAGUACUAGUUUCCCUUCAGAUAGCUGAUUAACUACGGUUCAUUCUCUGGAUCAUCGGUAUAAAGAUAUAUGUCGGAACUAGGUCAGUUUUGAACCGUUGUAACUUUAGGUAGCAUAACCAUGAUACUUUAUUGCACUGUUAUAUGCUGUAGAAACUUUUGAGCUAAAAGUUUAGUUGAUCAAUGAAUUUGGCAUUAAAUUUCGGAACCAAUUAAUAAACCAAGUACAAAGCACUCCUUCUGUCUGCCUGCUUUAGCUUUCACCUCCUUUCGCUCGGUAACUUUACGUAAGUAGAAGCAGUCGCAAUUCCUUGAAAAUAACGAUUUUAGAAGAGCAAAAGUCACCAAGAAUCAUAAAUUAUGUCUACAUUAAUAUAUUUAUCCUAAACUCUUUUCCAUAACACCAAAAAUUCCAAAUUUCUACCUUUAUGAUACAUUUACCUUUGGUUAAAAUUCUGUCUAUAAAAACCGUUAAAAAUCUGCUCACUUUGAUGCUGGAAAGCCAACAAUAUUGAUAUGGUGUUCAUGUGACUUGAGUAAAAUGCAAACAACAUUGUUUUGGAUGAAAAAUCAUUUAAUGGAAUCUUGAUGAAGGGUAAAUGUGUUACAUAGAUACAAGUUUAUGAUUUUUUAUGUCAAAAAAAUUUAGGGUAAAUGUGUCAGAGUGGGCAUGGUUUGAAAUUUUUGAUAUUACAAAAAAAGUUCAAGAUAUGUGUCAUAGUAAGCAAAAGUUGAGGUUUUUUGCAGUCGUUUCCUUAUAUUUAACCUAAAACCAUAACAACCGACCAAAAAAAAAAAAAAAAAACCCUAAAACCAGAGCCUAAAUAAGUUAUAUGAUUUGUAGAUGGUGAGGGUCGGACUUUUACCAUCUUCAUCCCUCGUUCAAAACCCGACCCUCAGGUUCUCUCACUAACUUGACAAGCCGGUUCAUGGAAUCAUCCAUUCUUCAAAUGCAACAAUACAAGGAAAAAAAAUGUUAAAAAUGGAUUUUCGGCCGAGUCAAGUAUGUGUCAAGAAAUUUGUUUUGGAAAUAGAUGGGUUAACUGGGUCGGAUCAUUUGUGACUUGACCCAAUCCACUCGUUUGACUACUCCACAUAUAAAAGGUCGUGCACCUUACUUUCUCAAAAGGUUUAUCUUUUGCUAAAGCUGUGGCCGAUUGCCUCCCUAUCUCACAUACAUCAUGCUUCUUUUAUGUCAAGGAGCAUGUCGGCCUCAGUAAUUUCAUUUGUGACUUGAAGUACAUGUCAAGGUAGGACGUAAAAUAUUGCUGAGGUUGGGAUAUGAGGAUUAGGUUACGAACUAAGUAAAAAUCACAUUUUGUGAAUAAGAAAAAUAGUGAACGAGGAUAAUAUAAUUCUCUCUCAAAAUAUUUGAAUCCUUAUUUGAAUCCUUAUUUGAAUCCCCUGAUUCUCUAGGGACAAAGGAGAAAAAAAAAAUUCCCUCUUUCUCCAAUCUCACAUUAUUGCAUGAGGAUCUUAACCAAACCGUAUCACGGUAUUCAUUAGCAUCUUAUACGCUGCUUCAUGACGUAGAAGUUAUUCGAAGUAAUAAUAGUACCACACAAAGUUCAUGUUUGAGCCCAGCAUUACAACCCGCACAAAAGCCAACUUCACAGAGAGCAAACCGCAGCAUCUAGAGAAGCAGAAGCUGUCUCCACUCUCUAAUUCGCAAUGAAUGCGAAUGCCAUCAGAAUACAGAGAAUGGCAAUUGGCCAAGGCAUGUCGCUAAGCAGGAUGUACAUCAACAGAAUACACUUGACACUUUCAAGCCCAGCCUCAAUGAUGGUGGACACAAGUUGGAACCUUGGGUCUACAUCAAGCGCUCCCAUCCUAAUGGUUUUGAGCAGUCCGUAGAAACGCAUGAUUUUUGCACAGGUAUUGUUGGCUGGAACACCCUUCAACUCAAUGAUUCGAUCCAGGAACCCCACAAGGGAACGAAGGCGUCGCGUGCGUGGAGCAAUUCGAUCUGCCAGGUCUACUCCAUGCCUUGGAAAUAAAAUUAACAAACUAGUUGUUAGUAUGCAUUGCAGAGAGUCUAACCUCUGUAUAUACAGCAGGUAUUUAACCCAUCUAGUGAUCCACGGAUAAUUAAGCUACUGAAACUCUUCUUUUCGACGAAAUGGAAUGCCGGAGUACCAAGAAAUACCUUCUUAACGCCUACAAACCUUUCCUAACCUUCUCUUACAGCACUUGUUCACAAAACAAGAUCACCCAGACGCACAAAACUGCCAGGUAAGCCCCCUUGUUCAUUGGGUAGAAACAGAGUAAAGCUAAUCGCAGGUUUUAUCUUUUCAUAUGGGGAAAAACUAAUAAGAUUUUCAAUUAAUACGUUGUUCUUAAUAUGAGUUUCUGUUGACAAAAGAAAGAAACAGUGUGUAAAUACGACUGUGUCUCUUCAUCAAUGUGACAGAAUUUUUCCUCCUAGAAACAGUGUAUACGUAACCAGACAAGGCCCAUACUUACUGGGUAGAAGCUAAGAAGAGGCUAGAAGCGAGAAACUGAGUCUUGGCAUUCCGGUAAGUUAUGAUAAUGGACAUGAUCAGACAUAGGUUCUAGUAAGAAAAUCAGGAUUUGUCAUGAUUUUGAGGUUGCCGAAGAGGUUAUGAUAGCUAGAUGUCCGGCCUCAGGUAAGUUAUGAGAUAUGGUUGACGUCCGGCCUCAAGUAAGUUAUGAAACUGAGUUUUGGUCCGAGAAUGUGCCCAAGUCUCUGUUCUAGCUUCUACUCGAGACUUGAGUAGCUUGUACCUGAGUCUUGCCUUCAAAGUUCUACCCCUAGAAUUGGGCUUUUAAGAGCUGAACAUACGAGAUCAAAAUGCAUGGGACAUGGGACAAAUUCACCUAAAUAAAGGUAAGUUUUUUCUUAAAAAAACAGCAUUCGCCUAAUGGAAUAUGCACAAUGGACAUGAACAGACAUAGUUUCAGGAAAGGAAAUCAGGAUUUGUUGUGAUUUUGAGGUCCUGAAGAGGUUAUGAUAGCUUGAUGUCUGUCCUCAAGUAAUUCAUGUUAAAUGCUUGACGUCCGGCUUCAAGUAAGUUAUGAAACUGAGUUCGCUAAAGCUUACCUCCGACCACCAAAAUCUGCUGGCAUCUCCAUUAGCCUUCCGACGAUGCCUUCCUGGAGAGUUGGAGAAGGAGAUGAAAUGUGGGGCUAAUGGUUUCGGUCGGAUGCUCUGGGAAAAUGAGUACGAAGUUUUAUAGGAAAUGAGGUGGAGGCAAUGGUGGGGGCUUUGAGGGUGCUCUGUUCCUUUUAAUAGAAUACACAAAAAGAACAGCCGAUCGAUUUGAGUAGUGCAGUAGUGCACGAAUGGUGAAAGGGGGUGUGAUUCCUUGAUAAGCUCAUCAAAGUCAAUCUGGCUUCUAGGGUCCCCGAAAGCGAAAGGCUAAUAAUCACUAGGCUAGUAAUCCAUGGAAAGUGCCAGCUUGUGCGAGGACGAAAUUUUAUAGGAAAAACGAGAUGGAGGCAGUGGUGUUUGAGGGUGUUCUGUUCCUUUCAAUAGAAUACAAAAAAAGAACAGCCGAUCGAUUUGAGUAGUGCAUGAAUACUGAAUGGGGGCGUGAUUCCAUGGAAAGUGACUGCUUGUGCGAGGACGAAAUUUUAUAGGAAAAACGAGAUGGAGGCAGUGGUGUUUGAGGGUGUUCUGUUCCUUCCAAUAGAAUACACAAAAAGAACAGCCGAUCGAUUUGAGUAGUGCAUGAAUACUGAAUGGGGGCGUGAUUCCAUUGAAAGUGACUGCUUGUGCAGGGCGAAAUUUUAUAGGAAAAACGAGAUGGAGGUAAUGGUGUUUGAGGGUGUUCUGUUCCUUCCAAUAGAAUACACAAAAAGAACAGCCGAUCAAUUUGACUAAUGCAUGAAUACUGAAUGGGGGCGUGAUUCCUUGGUAAGCUCAUCAAAGUCAAUCCGCUGUUCAGCGUCCCUGAAAGAGAAAGGCUAAUAAUCGAUGGAAAGUGCUUAUUUGCGCCUUGUCGGAUGCUUUAGGAAAAAUAGGUUAGUAAUCGAUGGAAAGUGCUUACUUGCGCCUUGUCGGAUACUUCAGGAAAAAUAGGUUGGUAAUCGAUGGAGACGGGCGGAGGCAAUGGUGGGGGACUUUGAGGUUGUUCUGGUCCUUUCAAUAGAAUAAUACAAAAAAGAGCACUACCCCGUUCCGACGCCAUUAUUUCUUCUCUAUUUUUCGUUUUUUUUCCCCUUCUUUUUGUUAAUAAAUCCAGAUUUCUACACGCGUGGUUUCUAAUGACAUAGGAAUCGGUCGACACCGCACCCCGAGGGAUAUUCGAGCUGAAGAUCUAUCUCUAUCAUAUAUAUGAAAGAGGUCAACAAAUAACAUUUAAAAAAAAAUAUAAAAAACUCUAAAUUGUAUUCACUGGACACAUUUAUUCUAAACCUUUUUUUAUGUGCUAUAAAAAACCUCAAAUCAUGCCCAAUAUACUACAUUUACCCUAUACUUUACUCAAAACUUGUACUUAUGUCACACAUUUACCUUUCGUCAAAAUAAAUGAUUUUUCAAUCAAAAUAAUAUCAUUUUUAUUUUACUUAAGUCACACGCUAUGUCAAUAUUGUUUGCUUUUUGAUGUUCACGUAGACAAAUUUUUAAUGGUCCCUAUUGACAAAAUUUUGAUGUAAGGUAUGUGUUAUACCGCUACAAAUUUUGGGUUUUUGAUGUUACAGAAAAAAUUUUGAGAUAAUUGUGUCGCAGUGGACAUAGUCUAUGAUUUUUGAUGGCUUUUGCCUUUUUUUAUUUGCCAUUUUUUUUUAAUUUCUUCCUUUUGGUAAGAGAAACUCAUAUUACUUGCAAUAAAUAUUUGUGUGAUACAUGUAAUCAAAAGACAAAUCUGCAUUAUUAAUAAAAUGUAGGCAGUACGUUCCUUGCAUGGAUUGUCAAUGGGGCCACUUUCUGCCGCAUCAACUUCUUUUUUGGCUUAGUUAGGAUACGCUUGAUAAUAUUUUUAUUCCAAAAUAUUUUUUUUCUAAUUUUAUUCUCUGGAUAAGUUUUUGAGCAGAAUAAUGUAUUUGAUAAUUAUAUAAAAUUUCUAUUGCCGGAAGAGAAAGAACGUAAAUGCAUUUGGAAUAACCCAAUUUUUUUAUUAUUAUUCAUUUUAACUAUAAAAAUAUCAAUAAUGGAGACUUAACAUUUCAUAUUUCGAUAAAACUGGACUUUUGUAAGAAUUUAAUUUAUCAAGAUAUUCGAAGAUGACUUUAGAAAAUCCAAUGUAAUAGUUAGUCAAAGAUGGAUGGAUGGAAAUGGCAUUAAAAGUCCCACCAGUUUAUAACUUGCAAUAUGAGGAGGUUGAUAGUAAAUCUCUGUGCAUUACAAAAACAAUUGCAUAGACCUUUUGAACUUUUUUAGCUACAAGAAAAAGAAUAAACGUUGCUUGGUAGAAUGAACAAUGAUGAAAUAACUUAGGAUGGAGGCGGUCAUAAAGUUGGUGUGCUUAUGUGUACAAACUCAUCAAAUCUUCAAGCAAAUGAUAUCGAAAUUCCAUGAAUUGCAGAAUUAUUCGAUUGUUAUGAACCCAAGAAAAAUGGUGAUGCAAAUGACUUAUUCAAAGCCAUAUUGAGGCAAAAAAAAGAAGCCAUAUAAUUUUCAAUUAAAACAUAAUUGCAGAUGAUCUAAAGGGAUGUCUCCAAUAGGGGUGUGCAUGGUCUGGACGGGCGGCUCCUGACCUAGAACUGGGAACCGCCCGCUAAGGACCGGUUCCGAAAAAUUGAAACUGGGAUUCACCCGUUAGUUGCAUGGAUCCAUUUGGGAACUGGACCAUCGGUUCGGUCUGGUUCGUGGGUGGGUCAAUGGAAUCUGUUGCUAACUUGUUGUCAAGGGCGAUGGUACCGGAAAAUUGACAUCGGAGGGCCGAAUAGAGAGAUAGUGAAAGGGACGGACGGAUGGACCGUCCAUGGAACCGGAAACCGGACUGGUACUCACCGGUUCCCAUAAAUUGGAAUCACGAACCGGAUCGGUUCUCUCAAGAACCACUGGUUCCAGGUGGUUCGGGCAGGUCUCGGUUCUUUUGCAUACCUCUAGUCAGAGUGGUGAUGCCAUAGUGCUUGGAGUGCAAUGUCAACAUCAUGAAGCUAGAGUAUUCUCCUUAUUUCAAAGACAAUCUAGGAGGAAGUAAUAUGCGACCGCAGAUAAAACAAUGAAGGAUAUUUUGAAAAGUUAACUACAAAAAGGGUGUCUUUAAUCAAAGAAAGUGUAGCUUGUCAAAAAAAAAAAAAUCAAAGAAAGUGUAGAACUAGCACCACCAUUUCUGUAAACAAAUUUUCAUAAACAUAGUAAGUUUCCUUUUUAAAUUCAUUUUUUCGGCUUAUUACUUACAAGUGGGCCCAGCGCCUUGGUACUAAUACAUAAUAUUUAUAUGCCUUCUCUGGUUAGGAGAAAAACUUAUAUCAAUUAUUGAUAUCUAGAACUCUUUAGCUCACUAAAGAUUAAUAUUAAAAAUUAAUAUAUUAUUUUAAAAUAGUCAGUCCGGUCCGGGUGGGCGGGUGGACGGAUCCGCUCAUGGAACCGGGAAUUGGACCGAUACCCAUCGGUUCCCAUAAAUUGGAACUGGGAACCGGACCGGUUCCCUCAGGAACCACUGGUUCCGGGCGGUUCCGGUUCGGUUCCGAGCGGCCUGGGCUCUUUUGCACACCCCUAGUCUCCAAUAGAAUCUUAAGGGGAGUCAUCAAGUUUUCGCGACCUAGCUUUAUUUUUAAAAGAAAACGGCGUUAAAAAGUCCAUAUAGUAAAGCCUUAAAAUCUGAUUCAAUUUUAAAUCUAAUUUUCAUCAAUUUUUUUUUACAUUUUUAUGCUAAACUAAUUCCAAAAUAGAAUUAACAUUAAAAUCUAGUAAAACUGCUCAAAAUCUAAUUUCUAAGUUUUUCCUAAAUUUCUGAAUUUUAUUUAAUUUUUUGAUCCUAAAAAAUUGGGACUUAGAUUGAGUCGGGAGACCAUAUCUUUGUUGAUUGUAUGAAGAUGAGCAUUGGAUUACAUUGAGCUUGCCUUUUCUAAAAUGACCUUACUUCUCUUUUUAUUUUCGGGAACAAAGAAGUAGGAUUUUUCAACUUAUUGUUUUUGUUCCAAAUAUAUUCCUUGACUAAAUUGGUCUGCUUCUAUUUUGUAGCUGUUGAUAUGUUUCGGGAAAUAGAAAAAUUAGCUAACGUUAUCAAAUAGAUUUUUGUUCUUUUUCGAUUCCAGAAAAUAAAAGAACAGAAAAAAAUAGAGGAACAGAACGGUUACUGAAUAGGGUCUUAUUGUGUAAACCUUGUAAGUAAUUUCCUUUUCUUUCCUUGUUAAUUAAAUCCUAAAUCAUUGUAUUGAUGCACCCAAUGUGAAAUUAGGCUAGCUUAUAGGUUAUAUUCCUGCAACGAUCCAUAAACUCAUUGGAUAUGAUUUACGCUAAAUGCAUGGUAUCAUACCGCGCAUUAAAUUUCUUUUUGAAUUUAGACUUGCGGUUCUAGAUGUGUUUAUGUGAGUACAUGAAGUUUGUAAAAUUAGCUCAUUGAAAUGUGGUGCACUAUCUUCGAUUGGCCAUAUUCAGUCGACCCUUCAUGCCAGACUGGAAUUGGUAAGGACAUGAAACUAUAGUUCUGAUUAUAACCGCAGGGCACACAUAGAUGCAUAUACCGACGCGCCUGGUUUGACAUCCAUCGGGCUUCGCAUCUUUGGAUUAGUGACUCUGUCCAUGACGGUGUUAAUUCUCUAUGCAUCUGACGAGUGCGCCAUGUCUGAUGCCGUUCAAGGUGGACUAUCAUUACCCAGAAGAUUCAAAAUACUUUGAUCUCGGCAAUUGAAAUGUCUCAAGCUAAAUCCUGGAGGUGCAGUACAUAAUUCAGUCCUCCUUUUCGAAUAUCUUCAUUCCUCUUGUACAGAUUCCAGUUUCUCAGUAAUGUUAAUCUUGUAAUUCCAUUUACAAGUUAACUUUAUCAUCACAGCCUUCAUAUCAAAUAUGGGCUCACUACCUUUUUGGCAGUUCUUGCUGGAAAUCGGAGUUCUUUUGAGGCAGACAUUUUUUUUUUUUUUGGUUUGAUACAGCACCAUCUCUCCAUUUCUAACAUGAAAAGGCUCUGUCAUCCUUUUUCCACAUUAACCUCGACGUGGCACUACCUAGCACCCAGUAAGAUAUACUUUUGAUUUUUUCUCAAAGUAAUUUGAAUUAAGGAAUGCAUGCCUGAGUCUGGUGACCCAGAUAAAUCAUGUCAAUGGGGGCACAAUUUAACGUUCACCGCAUUCAGUCUUAGAAGUAACAUUAUAUAGAUUUAAGAUACAAAAGGAGAGGGGUUUAACAAAAUCAAUCACAUCGUAAUAAGCUAAAGGUUAUCUUAAUUUGAAGAGAGGAUUCAGGGUUUGUUACCUCACUAUUAGGUAGUACCCACCAUGGGAUUGACUCGGUUGCUAGGGCAUUUUCAUGCUUUCAACUUAAAAAUCGAUGGUUGUGUGUUCGAUUCCUGCCUUGGGAAACUCCGAUUAUUAAUUGUGUUCUAUUCCUGCCUUCGGAAACUUGGACUUAAAGUUCGGAGUUGUGCAGUAUUAAUUUCCCUUCAAAUAGCAGAUUGACUACGGUUCUGCCCCUGGAUCAUCGAUGCAAAAAUAUAUGUUGGACUUAUAGGUCAGUUUCAAAUCGUCGUAACUUUAGCGUUAGGUAGUAUAACCUCGAUACUUUAUUGCACUGCUAUAUGCUGUAGGAACUUUUGAGCUAAGAUUUCAGUGUUGCUUUGCUUAAUGAGUUUGGCAUUUCUCAAUUUCGGAACCAAUUAAUAAAACAAGAAAAGUACAAAUCACUCCUCAUUUCUGCCUUCUUGAGAAGGCGCAAUUGCUACCAAACUGCUCUAGCUUUCACCUCCUCUCGCUCGGAAAUGUCACCGUUAACUUUGCAAAGGUAGAAGGAGUCGCCAUACAUAGUAACUUUUUUAGAACUAGAAGUAGCUGUUUGUUGUCACAAAAUAAUAUCAAAUAAGCACUUACUAAGAACUUCGGAUUACCAUGACCAGCAAAACAUCAUGCUAAUUAUGUUAAGAAUGUUAUGAAUUGAUUGUGAUUUUUCUUUCUUCAUUUUCUUCUAUCGUUUGACAAUUGGGUUUAUUUAGUAUUGCAUAUCUAAAGUCACUUAAGACACGCAAAUAUUUACAAGUAGUGUGUAUCGAUUAGGAAAUUUUCCAAAGUUUAGAGCUGGCCAUAUUCAGUCGACCUUUCAUGCUAGACCGGAAUUGGUAAGAACAUGAAGCUGUAGUUUUGAUUAUAACCGCAGGGCGCACAUAGUCGCAUACAUCGACGCGCCUGGUUUGAAGUCCAUCAGGAUUCACAUCUUUGGAUUAGCGACUCUGUCCAAGAUGGUGUUAAUUCUCUAUAUCUCUGACGAGUCUGCCAUGUCUAAUGCAGUUCAAGGUGGACUAUCACUACCCAGAAGAUCCAAAAUACUUUGACCUCGGCAAUUGAAAUGUCUCAAGCCACCUCCUCAAUUAAAUCCUGGAGGUGCUGUACAUAAUUCAGUCUUUCUUUUCGAAUAUCUUCAUUCCUCCUCUUGUACAGAUUUCAGUUUCUCAAUAAUGUUAACCUUGUAAUUCCAUGUGCAAGUUAACUUUACCCUCACAGCCUUCAUAUCAAAUAUGGGCUGGGCUCCCUACAGCUUAAAUUGAUAAAUAAAGUUAUGGUUUAUUAUUUAUAUAUUCUAUUGCUCCUCACGCG